rnacentral:rRNA from 1 species
UACAGAGGUCUCAAGCGUUGUUCGGAUUCAUUGGGCGUAAAGGGUGCGUAGGUGGCGCCAUAAGUCAGGUGUGAAAUCUCGGGGCUCAACCUCGAAACUGCACUUGAUACUGUGGUGCUGGAGUACUGGAGAGGAGAUUGGAAUUUACGGUGUAGCAGUGAAAUGCGUAGAUAUCGUAAGGAAGACCAGUGGCGAAGGCGAAUCUCUGGACAGUUCCUGACGCUGAGGCACGAAGGCCAGGGGAGCAAACGGG